rnacentral:rRNA from 1 species
GAUGAACGCUGGCGGCGUGCCUAAUACAUGCAAGUCGAGCGAACGGACGAGAAGCUUGCUUCUCUGAUGUUAGCGGCGGACGGGUGAGUAACACGUUGAUAACCUACCUAUAAGACUGGGAUAACUUCGGGAAACCGUAGCUAAUACCGGAUAAUAUUUUGAACCGCAUGGUUCAAAAGUGAAAGACGGCCUUGCUGUCACUUAUAGAUGGAUCCGCGCUGCAUUAGCUAGUUGGUAAGGUAACGGCUUACCAAGGCAACGAUGCAUAGCCGACCUGAGAGGGUGAUCGGCCACACUGGAACUGAGACACGGUCCAGACUCCUACGGGAGGCAGCAGUAGGGAAUCUUCCGCAAUGGGCGAAAGCCUGACGGAGCAACGCCGCGUGAGUGAUGAAGGUCUUCGGAUCGUAAAACUCUGUUAUUAGGGAAGAACAUAUGUGUAAGUAACUGUGCACAUCUUGACGGUACCUAAUCAGAAAGCCACGGCUAACUACGUG